CCCCGGUAAACCACUGUGCAGACCACCGGUAAACCACUGUGCAGACCCCGGUAAACCACUGUGCAGACCCCCGGUAAACCACUGUGCAGACCACCGUAAAACCACUGUGCAGACCCCCAGUAAAACCACUGUGCAGACCCCCAGUAAACCACUGUGCAGACCCCCAGUAAACCACUGUGCAGACCCCCAGUAAACCACUGUGCAGACCCCCAGUAAACCACUGUGCAGACCCCCGGUAAACCACUGUGCAGACGCCCAGUAAACCACUGUGCAGACCCCCACGUCCCCAGGCUUAACACCAUG
ensembl:lncRNA